rnacentral:rRNA from 1 species
CAGUAGCCGCGGUAAUACGAAGGGUGCAAGCGUUAAUCGGAAUUACUGGGCGUAAAGCGUGCGUAGGCGUUGAGUUAAGUCUGCUGUGAAAUCCCCGGGCUCAACCUGGGAAUGGCAGUGGAUACUGGCUCGCUAGAGUGUGUCAGAGGAUGGUGGAAUUCCCGGUGUAGCGGUGAAAUGCGUAGAGAUCGGGAGGAACAUCAGUGGCGAAGGCGGCCAUCUGGGACAACACUGACGCUGAGGCACGAAAGCGUGGGGAGCAAACAGGAUUAGAUACCCCCGUAGUCCCUGUCUCUUAUAA